rnacentral:lncRNA from 1 species
CAGUCUCAGCCAUGGUUGCAUACCUUCCAAGCUCCACCGCCUCUUCUUCCUCGUGGGCAGAUCCCUGAUUUUGUGUAGGACAGCACUUGAAAUGUAUUUGUGUGCUCAACAUUGGUUUCCUCUCUGGAACCUGGGAUCACUUCAGGGGUGGACACGUGGCCCAACCAUGACUGAUGAGACAUGCGGGGAAAUCUGCAGAGGCAACUUCUAGGAAAGGUUGGGCUCUUGCAGCCACCCUGUGACUAUGAGGACUAUGAAGGGCUGAAGAUUUACUCUACUUGAGAACGAACCAGGUUUUUGUAAGCUCCAGACAUUGGAUAAAGCAUUUUGAGGGAUAGGUGAAAACGAAAUCCUGCCCUUUACUCUUGAGAACUCACUCUGCUGUGGGAGGAGAGACAGGCAGACCUCAGUCUACUGACAGCAUGAACAGAAAGAGAGGGUCUCUUUCUGCUGGUGCUUCGGUUUGAGAACCAGUGCUCCUGACUUUGGUUGGCCAUUGGUGUCUGUCUGAAGAGGGUCUCCACUGCCCCCAGGCAUGUUCCUUCUCUCACUGCUGCCCCCUGGGAUGGAAACUCGACAUCCCCUCUUUCCCUUCCUACUGGCACCAACGGUACCAGAGCAAACCCCACAAUCUCCAUGCCUACAUUUCUUUGACAUCCACCUGUCACCAUCUUUGGAGGAUUCAAGUGAAGUUCUUUGUCUUUUAUGGGACAGAGAUGAUUCUCCACUCCAGAGGGUCUGGAGUGAUUAUAGGAAUGUAAUCGCCUUGAACAAUCAGCGUGUUUUACAGCCUACUGCCCUGCAUUUUGUGUGGAAUGCAGUUGUCUUAUUGCUUGGAACCAGCUCUCAGUAGACCUCAGCAGCUUAUAGACAAACCCGAGUGAACUUUCCUCAUGACCAUGCUAGUGUCUCCAUCCUGGGAUGAGCCACAGCUUCAUCACCAUAACAUGCAACCUAUGUGCUGGUGUGAUGACUCGCUGUGUCUGCACCACUGAGGCUCCUCCUCCACAUGCCAUGACGCGUCCUCUCUUCUCUCCAUCUCCCCAUGAAGUCCUCCUGUCACUUUCCCUCAGGGAGACAUGGCUUUGGAGAGUACUCCCAACAGCAUGCUUAUUUGUGCCAAGUAAUAAAACUCCUGUUGAUCAAA